CUGCUCACUUCAGCGGUACUUACACUAAAAUUGGAACAUACAGAGAAGAUUAACAUGGCCCCUGCACAAGGAUGAAAACACAAAUUUGUCAAGUAUUCCUUAUUAAA
ensembl:snRNA U6 U6 spliceosomal RNA